rnacentral:rRNA from 1 species
CCUACGGGAGGCAGCAGUGGGGAAUAUUGGACAAUGGGCGAAAGCCUGAUCCAGCAAUGCCGCGUGAGUGAUGAAGGCCUUCGGGUCGUAAAGCUCUUUUACCAGGGAUGAUAAUGACAGUACCUGGAGAAUAAGCUCCGGCUAACUCCGUGCCAGCAGCCGCGGUAAUACGGAGGGAGCUAGCGUUGUUCGGAAUUACUGGGCGUAAAGAGUACGUAGGCGGUUAUUCAAGUCAGAGGUGAAAGCCCGGGGCUCAACCCCGGAACUGCCUUUGAAACUAGAUAGCUAGAGUCUUGGAGAGGUUAGUGGAAUUCCGAGUGUAGAGGUGAAAUUCGUAGAUAUUCGGAAGAACACCAGUGGCGAAGGCGACUAACUGGACAAGUACUGACGCUGAGGUACGAAAGCGUGGGGAGCAAACAGGAUUAGAUACCCUGGUAGUCCACGCCGUAAACGAUGAUAACUAGUUGUUCGGUCACUUGGUGACUGAGUGACGCAGCUAACGCAUUAAGUUAUCCGCCUGGGGAGUACGGUCGCAAGAUUAAAACUCAAAGGAAUUGAACGG